UGGAUUGGAUUGUUUUAUAUUGUAUACAAAUUAUAUAUAUUGAAAUUGAUAUUGUUAGAAAAUGUUAUAUAUAUUUUUCUAAUUGUACCAUUCAUCUAACAAUGUAAUGCAAUUUUCUGAUCCUUGAAUGUUAUUACCAACUAUUAGGAUAUAAAGCAAUGAAAGUUAGUAGUUAGAUAUUAUAAUAGAACUUGUAGUUAUAUUAGGUAUGUUUUCAAGAUUGAGUAGAUAUAUUUUAGAUAGACAGGUUAUCUUCAAACCCUUCAGAGAUCUACAGAAUAUGGCAUUUAAAAUGUUUUAAUAACUUAGAAAAUUUUUCUUUUUUGUUAUGACUAUGAGACAUGUCGGCUCCUGGCAGUACCAAUCUACUUCAGAGAAAAUAUGGGCAUUGAAGAAAUUGCAUAUGGAGUUAACUUUCAUUGUGGCAAAAGUUAGCCACUGGACAACAAAGUAUCCUCGAAUCAACGGGACAAAAUGGACAGACAGGACAUAAAACAAAGGAUUACUGAUUCUUGCCAAAACAAGUGUGGUUAUGGCUUUAUCAAAAGGCAUCUUCAGAGGCCAGGACAAUAUGGCACCAUCCCUGAAGUGGCCUUCGCAAUUCGAAAAAGGUACAGUGCCCUUUUCUUCGAAGGCAGCUGAACAGGCAGUGGGCUGAUGGCUUCUGAUGUGCAAUGGAACAGCAGCUGAAACAGUUAUUCUUGAAGAGUAACUAAGCUCACGCCUCUCAAUAGUAGACUGGCAUUUGAUAGAGGGAUAUGGAGAAGAAUGGGAUGCUGAGAUGAAGCCAUAUAUACACAGCCAAGAAGAAUGGACAGCUGAAUUAAAAAACCAUCAACAAUUUCCAGAAUUUAAAAUCCUGAAUCAUGACAUGACACUAGUGGAAUUCAGGUGUUUCUGGUACAUGGACUACUCUCACUCAAUGUGAGGUUGAACUGUUGACCUUGUGUACAUCCUACUUCACAAAUGAGUCUGUCAGAUAUGCUAAGCCUAUAGGCGGAAGAUGAUGCCCCAGCACUUCGGAGAAACCUCAGGUGACUGUCCAGACAGCUGUCUGUUUCUGUCAACUCACAAAUUUUUUGGAAGGUGCUUAUGUACACUUCCUGUUUUUAUUUUUGUUAGCUAAUAUUAUUUCCUUCUUGGGUCUCUGAGGGAGUUGAAGAUUAGUUAGUUAUAGUUGAAGGUUAGUUAGUUAUAGUUGAAAAUUAAUUAGGAUACAUUUUGGACUUACCAAAAUAGGAUAGAUAAUGAAAUUAUUUUCUCCGAAUUUGUGAAAUACAAAUGGACUAGACAUUGUUUAGGUAUUUAUUACUUGUAUAUAUUGUAUAUAGUUAUUGUCUUUUUGUAUAUAGUUUUUCUUAUAUUAGUUAUAAGCUUUUUCUUUUUUUUCCUUUUUAUUAAAAUAGAAAAGGGGAAAUAUGGUGACAUUUUAUUUGUAUUAAAAUAUUAUUUGUAUGUUAAUAAAUAAAGUUGCCCGGGGGUCAGAGCUAUUAGCAAGCCAUAGGAAACCAGGGCAGUGGUAGCGUACGCUUGUAAUUCCAGCACUUGGUAGGCAGAGCUGGGUAAGUCUCUGUGUGUUCAGGGAUACAGCCAUUAUUGGAUACACAUGCCUUUAAUCUCAAUACCAAUCAUGGAAAACCUGGAGGCCUAUACAGACAGGCUGUGAGGAGGCGGUCAUGUGGUUGGGUUUACAACCAAUGAGAAGGCAGGACAGGAACUCUAUAUAAAGACUUUAACACAGGGGUAGCUCUGGUUCGGAGAGGUAGGACCACCGCAGGAGGAAGGGUAAGGUUUUAGCUCUUAGCUCUGACCUCUUGGCUUUCUUCUUUGCAUUGGUUCUGUGUUUAUUAUUUAAUAAGAAGGUUGGAUACAUCUACAAGGGGCUGUCCAAGAGACUCAUGGAUUAUAUAUGUACAUAUAGAUAGAUAGAUAGAUAGAUAGAUAGAUAGAUAGAUAGAUAGAUAGAUAGGUAGAUAUAGAUAGAUAUAUAUGUGUGUGUAUACAUAUAUGUACAAAUAUAAUAUAUAUAAUUUAUAUCCUAUUGAUGUUUCCUUUGAUGCCCCCAGAGGUGGAAGGUAAUUCCCUACUAGUGAAGUCAUCAUGUACUUCAGAAACAGGGCCCAAAGACCCCUGAGCUAGAACUGACCUGAAUGGCCCCUCCCUGAGGACUAGUUUUUCAGUACCAGAAUCCACCAUGCAAGCUUCCCAAGAAGGGAAGCAACCAAUGUUCCUACCCAACUUUGGCAUCUAUGGACCACAUUAAUGAUGAGUGUGGCAUGAUAACCCUAAAGGUACAGUCUUGGCACACAUACCAUGGUGGUAACCGAUAGCUCUCUAAUUGGACUUAAGAUCUACUCAACAAGAGGGGAAACAAGCCUGGUGCUGGAAAUCUAGCUUAAUUACUCAGUGCUAGUGAAGUUGUGGUUACUGGAAGAGAAUCUACAACCACUAAUUUCUUAAACCAUCAUAAGUUCUAACAGCAGUCUGUAGCCAUUUGUCCUUAAACCCACCGAUAAGUGUUGUCUUCAUCCCCACAUUGAUCAAACUUCUCUUUGCAAGAAAGACCACUAUAGAAAACCACAACCAAUCAAAAUGCAGAGUUGUGGAGCUCAUGUCAAAUUGAUAACACCUACAAAACACUUCCACACCUAAGGCACAGGGAACAUUGCAGAUGAGGGGGUAGAAAGACUGUAAGGGCCAGAGGAUCUGGGAGUUUGCUGUGAGACUGUGUUUCCUAGGAAUCUCUGGAGUUACACUUAUAAAGUUUCACCAACACGAUUGCCCAAAUGUGAGCUGAACCAGGUUGACACCAAUGGACACACCAAGGUGGAUGGGGGAAAGCCCAGAAGCCUCAACUCUGCACAAAGAACUACAGGCAACUGAGGAAAGAUUGGAGCCAGAGAGAAGAGGUAGAGAAGAAAACAUGCAACCUGUGUGUUAUGGUCAUGCUGAAGGGAAGCCUUGUAAAAUAGCCAAAGAAAGAGCAGCCAAAAGUGAUGUUAAACUAGAGGCAAUUUCCAGAAAAGUAUAAUCUUUGAGAAAAAGAUCAAUUCAAAUUAACUAAAAAACAGUGUUUAAUAGUGGUUCCAGUGAGGGUUGGUUAAUGCCUAGAAAACUACCUAAGAUUAGCACAUCGAUUCUUGUUAGUCUGGCUUAUUGCACGGAUGACCUUCACUUUCAUCCUUUCUGCUGUGGAUGACAUAAUUCAGUUCUUAUUCAUAAGACUACGAUCCCUAAUGUCAUAGACUGGAUGGCUCAGGGACCACACAGACCUAUAUCCUCAUGGUUCUGGGAGCUGAGACAUCCAACAGCAAGAGGCCAACAGAUACAGUAUGACUAGAUAAUAUUCCAUGGAAUAUAAGCCAGAGAGUGGGUCACACUGAGCACAGCUCGAGCACAGGAGACCUCAAACCCGACAGUGACAUACUUCCUCCAACAAGGCCACACCUCCUAAUAGUGCCACUCCCUUUGGAAGCCAUAUUUUUCAAUGCACCAAACUGACAAAAAAAAAUCCUGGUAUGGAGAGAUGGCUCAGAAGUUAAGAGCACUUGUUGGCCCUCUGGAUAGGAAAGACAGUUGUUUAGCUUGAACUCUUUAGGGGGCCCCCAGGCAGUGGGAUUGAGAUCCGUCCCCAGUGCAUGAAUGGACUUUUUGGAGCCCAAUACCUAUGGUGGGACACUUUGUGCAUCCUUGGUGUAGGGGGAAGGGGCUUGGACCUGCCUCAACUGAAUGUGCCAGGCUCUGCUGACUCCCCAUGGGAGACCUUGCCUUGGAGGAGGUGGGA